GAAGAACGCUGGAGGCGUGCCUAAUACAUGCAAGUUGAGCGAUGAAGAUUGGUGCUUGCACCAAUUUGAAGAGCAGCGAACGGGUGAGUAACGCGUGGGGAAUCUGCCUUUGAGCGGGGGACAACAUUUGGAAACGAAUGCUAAUACCGCAUAACAACUUUAAACAUAAGUUUUAAGUUUGAAAGAUGCAAUUGCAUCACUCAAAGAUGAUCCCGCGUUGUAUUAGCUAGUUGGUGAGGUAAAGGCUCACCAAGGCGAUGAUACAUAGCCGACCUGAGAGGGUGAUCGGCCACAUUGGGACUGAGACACGGCCCAAACUCCUACGGGAGGCAGCAGUAGGGAAUCUUCGGCAAUGGACGAAAGUCUGACCGAGCAACGCCGCGUGAGUGAAGAAGGUUUUCGGAUCGUAAAACUCUGUUGGUAGAGAAGAACGUUGGUGAGAGUGGAAAGCUCAUCAAGUGACGGUAACUACCCAGAAAGGGACGGCUAACUACGUG
rnacentral:rRNA from 1 species